rnacentral:rRNA from 1 species
GCGAGUGAAGAGGGAAGAGCCCAAGAUUGAAAGCUGGCGUCUUCGGCGUCCGCAUUGUAAUCUCAAGAAGUGUUUUCCGCUUCGGACCAUGCCUAAGUCCCUUGGAAAAGGGCAUCAUAGAGGGUGAUAAUCCCGUACAUGGCAUGGAGCGCCCGAAGCUUUGUGAUACGCUUUCUAAGAGUCGAGUUGUUUGGGAAUGCAGCUCAAAAUGGGUGGUAAAUGCCAUCUAAGGCUAAAUAUUGGGGAGAGACCGAUAGCGAACAAGUACAGUGAUGGAAAGAUGAAAAGAACUUUGAAAAGAGAGUUAAACAGUACGUGAAAUUGCCAAAAGGGAAGGGUAGGAGGUCAGAGAUGCGUUCUGGGAUUCAGCCUUGCUUUUGCUUGGUGUUUUUCCCAGAUUGCAGGCCAACGUCGGUUUUGGUCGCUGGAGAAGGGUGGAAGGAAUGUGGCACCUCUCGGGGUGUGUUAUAGCCUUCUACUGGAUACAGUGACCGGGACCGAGGACAGCAGCGUACUCGCAAGAGCGGGCCUUCGGGCACCUUUACGCUUAGGGCGUUGGCAUAAUGGCCC